CACCGCGGUUAUACGAGAGACCCAAGCUGUUAGACACCGGCGUAAAGAGUGGUUAGGGAAGUUCAUCCGACUAGAGCCGAACACCUUCAAAGCUGUUAUACGCACCCGAAGGUAAGAAGCCCAACUACGAAAGUGGCUUUAUGUUAACUGAACCCACGAAAGCUAGGACA
rnacentral:rRNA from 1 species